GAUGAACGCUGGCGGCGUGCCUAAUACAUGCAAGUCGAGCGAACAGACGCGGGGCUUGCUCCUCUAACGUUAGCUGCGGAGGGGGGAGUAACCCGUGGAUAACGUACCUAUAUGACUGGGAUCACUUCGUGACAGCGGAGCUAAUACAGGAUAAUAUAUUGACCCGCAUGGUUCAAUAGUGAAAGGCGGUGUUGCUGUCACUUAUAGAUGGAUCCGGGCCGCAUGAGCUAGUUUGUAAGGUAACGGCUUACCAGGGCAACGGUGAUUGGCCGACCUGAGAGGGUGGUCGCCGACACUGGAAGUGAGACACGUCCCAGACACCUAGGGUGAGCAGCAGUAGGGAAUCUUCCGCAAUGGGGGAAAGCCUGACGUAGCAACACCGCGUGAGGGAUGAAGCUGUUCUGAUCGGAAAACUCUGUUAGUAGGGAAGAACAAAUGUGUAAGUAACUAUGCACGUAUUGACGGUACCGGAUCAAAAAGCCCCGGCUAACUACGUG
rnacentral:rRNA from 1 species